AUUGAACGCUGGCGGAAUGCUUUACACAUGCAAGUCGAACGGUAGAGGGGGCAACCCUUGAGAGUGGCGAACGGGUGAGUAAUAUAUCGGAACGUGCCCAGUCGUGGGGGAUAACGUAGUGAAAAUUACGCUAAUACCGCAUACGAUCUAAGGAUGAAAGCGGGGGACUCGCAAGAGCCUCGCGCGAUUGGAGCGGCCGAUAUCAGAUUAGGUAGUUGGUGGGGUAAAGGCUCACCAAGCCAACGAUCUGUAGCUGGUCUGAGAGGACGACCAGCCACACUGGAACUGAGACACGGUCCAGACUCCUACGGGAGGCAGCAGUGGGGAAUUUUGGACAAUGGGCGCAAGCCUGAUCCAGCAAUGCCGCGUGCAGGAUGAAGGCCUUCGGGUUGUAAACUGCUUUUGUACGGAACGAAACGGUGAGCUCUAAUAAAGUUUGCUAAUGACGGUACCGUAAGAAUAAGCACCGGCUAACUACGUG
rnacentral:rRNA from 1 species